CAGUCGCCGCGGUAAUACAGAGGGUGCGAGCGUUAAUCGGAUUUACUGGGCGUAAAGCGUGCGUAGGCGGCUAAUUGAGUCGGAUGUGAAAUCCCCGAGCUUAACUUGGGAAUUGCAUUCGAUACUGGUUAGCUAGAGUGUGGGAGAGGAUGGUAGAAUUCCAGGUGUAGCGGUGAAAUGCGUAGAGAUCUGGAGGAAUACCGAUGGCGAAGGCAGCCAUCUGGCCUAACACUGACGCUGAGGUACGAAAGCAUGGGGAGCAAACAGGAUUAGAGACCCCUGUAGUCCCUGUCUCUUAUAC
rnacentral:rRNA from 1 species